CACCAGCGGCGAAGGCGGCUUACUGGGUCUUAGCUGACGCUAAUGCACGAAAGCGUGGGGAGCAAACAGGAUUAGAUACCCUGGUAGUCCACGCCGUAAACGAUGAGUACUAAGUAUCUGGGGAAACUGGGUGCUGCAGUUAACGCAAUAAGUACUCCGCCCUGAGUAGUACGUGCGCAAGCAU
rnacentral:rRNA from 1 species